rnacentral:rRNA from 1 species
UACAAGACCGUGAGGGAAAGUUGCAAAGCACUUUGAAGAGAGAGUUAAAGAGGACGUGAAACCGGUGAGGUGGAAACGGAUAGAGUCGGCGUAUCUUGCAAGUAUUCAUUUGCAUUCAGUUGUAUCUUCUGACUUUGAGCUCCAGAUUGGGACAGAGAUGGAUUAUAUGAUUGUUUGUAAUGCAUUUACUUGCUUGGUGCGUGGGGAUUUCUGAGACAGAUUUGUGACUAUUGUUUUGAGGCCAGCUUGCUGGUACCCGAAUAAUAUUAGCAUUUUUUGUCUUGGAUUUACUUUAAAAAAAAUAUGGCCUACGUGCGUCAGAUAGAUUGUUCUGAGGGUAAGUAACUGUCGCAUGCGACAAGUGCUUUUCAAUUAGUUCAGUCUGUUUAAUGCUCUCAUAUUUGUUCCCCAUGUAAAAGCCGGUCAUCUAUCCGACCCGUCUUGAAACACGGACCAAGGAGUUUAUCGUGUGCGCAAGUUUUUGGGUGUUUAAAACCUAAAGGCGAAAUGAAAGUAAAUAACUCUUAUGAGUUUGAUGUGCGAUCUUUUUUUUUAUAAAAAAGUGCAGCAUGGCCCCAUUCUAACUGUUUACAGUAGGGUGGAGGAAGAGCGUACGCGGUGAGACCCGAAAGAUGGUGAACUAUUCCUGAGCAGGACGAAGCCAGAGGAAACUCUGGUGGAAGUCCGAAGCGGUUCUGACGUGCAAAUCGAUCGUCUGACUUGGGUAUAGGGGCGAAAGACUAAUCGAACCAUCUAGUAGCUGGUUCCUUCCGAGGAA